GGGCCAAUCGUAUAGUGGCUUAUUAUGCUGUCUUAGGGCUUCCUCUCCUUUCAGGAGAUUGCACUAAGUUGACAGAGGUCCCCGGUUCGAUUCCGGGUUGGCCCC